AAAAAAGGUAAGCUACUAAGAGCGAAUGGUGGAUGCCUUGACUGGUAAAGGCGAUGAAGGACGUACUAGACUGCGAUAAGCUACGGGGAGCUGUCAAGAAGCUUUGAUCCGUAGAUUUCCGAAUGGGGCAACCCAAUGUAUAGAGAUAUACAUUACCUAUAUAGGAGCGAACGAGGGGAAUUGAAACAUCUUAGUACCCUCAGGAAAAGAAAUCAAUAGAGAUUGCGUCAGUAGCGGCGAGCGAAAGCGC
rnacentral:rRNA from 1 species